rnacentral:rRNA from 1 species
GAUGAACGCUGGCGGCGUGCCUAAUACAUGCAAGUCGAGCGAACGGACGAGAAGCUUGCUUCUCUGAUGUUAGCGGCGGACGGGUGAGUAACACGUGGAUAACCUACCUAUAAGACUGGGAUAACUUCGGGAAACCGGAGCUAAUACCGGAUGAUAUUUUGAACCGCAUGGUUCAAAAGUGAAAGACGGUCUUGCUGCCACUUAUAGAUGGACCCGCGCUGCAUUAGCUAGUUGGUAAGGUAACGGCUUACCAAGGAAACGAUGCAUAGCCCACCUGAGAGGGUGAUCGGCCCCCUUGGAACUGCGACACGGUCCAGACUCCUACGGGCGGCAGCAGUAGGGAAUCUUCCGCAAUGGGCGAAAGCCUCACGGAGCAACGCCGCGUGAGUGAUGAAGGUCUUCGGAUCGUAAAACUCUUUUAUUAGGGAAGAACAUAUGUGUAAGUAACUGUGCACAUCUUGACGUUACCUAAUCAGAAAGCCACGGCUAACUACGUG